rnacentral:rRNA from 1 species
GACGAACGCUGGCGGCGUGCUUAACACAUGCAAGUCGAACGGAAAGGCCCCUUUGGGGGUACUCGAGUGGCGAACGGGUGAGUAACACGUGAGUAACCUGCCCUUGACUUCGGGAUAACUUCAGGAAACUGGGGCUAAUACCGGAUAGGAAUCCUUGCUGCAUGGUGGGGGUUGGAAAGCUUCGGCGGUUUUGGAUGGACUCGCGGCGUAUCAGCUUGUUGGUGGGGUAGUGGCUUACCAAGGCUUUGACGGGUAGCCGGCCUGAGAGGGCGACCGGCCACAUUGGGACUGAGAUACGGCCCAGCCUCCUACGGGGGGCAGCAGUGGGGAAUAUUGCACAAUGGGCGGAAGCCUGAUGCAGCAACGCCGCGGGCGGGAUGACGGCCUUCGGGUUGUAAACCGCUUUCAGCAGGGGCGAAGCUUGUGGUGACGGUACCUGCAGAAGAAGCACCGGCUAACUACGUG